CAACCUAGAUCUGACGAGUUUAUAUAUGAUCAUAACCUCCAUAAAGAGCUGCGAGUAACGAUUACUUUGUAGCAGUUUGUAAACCAUAAACACUCUAAAUAGCACUAUCKAAUCACUGGUCAUAUCGUUUUAAUGUGUUAUAACACAUUUUGUCUGAUCCAGGCUUCCCUCUGCCAUUUCUGCAGCCUCCGACGUUCCGUGCGUAAAAUAGCCUGUUUGGUAUUCCUGCGUGGAGGGCAUGCGCGUUAAAUARAGGGGGUGUGGAUGGAUAAAUAAAACAACUUAACGGAGACUUUACACACCUAAGUAUACUUUACACACCUUGGUAUAACUAUCAUAUCAGUUAUUCAGGUGUUGUCGAUGUGUCGUGCUGUUCAGGCCCGAGCCCGUAGGAGGUCCUAUUUGACGGCAGCGCGGAGGGGUUUGUUGUGUGGCCAGGCCUGGCGGUGCUGUGGUUUGAAUGCAGGAAGCGUCUUCCUGCAGGGUAAACAGUGACGACUAUAGGGCACACUUCCUCAGACUAACUCGGCCCAGGACUCUUAAAAACAACCCCAAAAUGGAAUCAGACAGUAAAAUAGUCGCACAGCUGAGUUCUGAACUCUACUUUCCUAAUCGUCCGCUUUCUACAGGCUGGACCGUGCCAGAACGCAGCGGAGACGUUGAUCCGUGAGGUGGAGGAGAAGGAGCUACUGCCCACACGACGGGACUGGACGGGGAAGGAGCAYCAUGGGARAUACGAGGAUUUGGUAAGGCUGAUCUAUAACCUACCAAAAAGUUUUKUUUAGAGAGAGCUAAAUAAAAAUUGAAUUUCGCGCAAUUUUUUUUAAGUAGGAGAAAAAAGUCAAAAGGAUUUGUAAGCGAAAACCCGAACCCAACCCGGGCCAGAAGGGACCAGGGGUCAGGGUCCUGCUUUAUAUGGGACCCUGGAGUGUGAGUUUGGCGACAGGCAUGUCCAAAACAUUUUAUUAGUAGUGGAAAUGUGUGUGAAAUGUUGGUACGUCAUGAGUGUUGUGGUGUUGGAGCGCGGGGGGGAGGGACUCCUGCGACACAGCGAGAUAGAGGCGCCCAGCUCCUGCUGUCGGGAACCGUGUGGAU